rnacentral:rRNA from 1 species
GAAGAGUGUGCGUCAGAGGCUACAUACCAACCGCGCCACCUGAUAGCUGGUUUUCUGAGAACAGUGCUUCAGCACAGACAAUAGAACCUCUUCGUCCACCCAAAAAGGGAUAAGCCUUAUUGGGCCGCUUUAUUUUUACUAACAGUAUUUAUUAUUUGUAGGAUUACAACCAUUCAACAAACGCUAGAGCGUUACAGCCAUAGACUUUUAGCAGAACAACAAUUUAUACACUUUAAUAGGCCACAUAUCAGAAUAUAUUAUUAAACUUUCCCCAGGAUAAAAAAAAUGCCAGGAUUAGUAUUUUUCUUGCUUGUGAAGGACCCCUUAAAACAGCUCUUUUACCAGAAGAAACUUAAAACAGUAAAAAAGGAACUCGGCAAACCGAACUUCGACUGUUUACCAAAAACAUUGCCUCUAGCACAAAACAUUGGAGGUACAUCCUGCCCAGUGACAUACGUGUUAAACGGCCGCGGUACCCUGACCGUGCAAAGGUAGCAUAAUCACUUGCCUCUUAAUUGGGGGCUGGUAUGAAUGGACAAACGAGGGUUCAGCUGUCUCUUCUAUUUACCUAAAAAUUAACCCUCAGGUGAAAAUGCCUGAAUUUUCAUGAAAGACAAGAAGACCCCAUUGAGCUUUACUUUUACCGCCUAGAUUACCCCCUUUCUGGGAAAGCUAAUAGUUGGGAAAGGUUUUGUUGGGGCGACAAAGGAAUAAACACUUCUUCCUAAGUAAUUCGGGCUCCGAGCCGCAUAAAUGACCCUGGACUGAUCAACGGAACCAGCUACCAUGGGGAUAACAGGCUAAUCCCCCUCGAGAGCCCUGAUUGACAGGGGGGUUUGGCACCUCGAUGUUGGCUUGGGGCCAACCUGUGAGCAGAAACA